AACGAACGCUGGCGGCAGGCUUAACACAUGCAAGUCGAACGGACGUAGCAAUACGUUAGUGGCAGACGGGUGAGUAACGCGUGGGAAUAUGCCCUUUAGUUCGGAACAACUCAGGGAAACUUGAGCUAAUACCGGAUAAGCCCGAGAGGGGAAAGAUUUAUCGCUAAAGGAGUAGCCCGCGUCUGAUUAGCUAGUUGGUGAGGUAAUGGCUCACCAAGGCGACGAUCAGUAGCUGGUCUGAGAGGAUGAUCAGCCACACUGGGACUGAGACACGGCCCAGACUCCUACGGGAGGCUG
rnacentral:rRNA from 1 species